CAGAUGCAUUAAUAAACCUGUAACUAAAAAUUAAUCAGAAUGACCAAAUAGCUGGGAUUGCUAAUUUUUCACAUUUUAAUGUGGAGUAAAUCCUCUCUGACAUACCUAGUUGCCUGCAGACACGAGCUGAAAAUUCAUUGACAUGAAAUACAAGUGAAAAAUUUAACAGGCUUGAUUCUGGUUCGAAAUCUUAUUACAGCGCGCUUGGUAAUGCAGUUGAGUGGUUGAGGGUUUGGAAAACUAGGGUUUUUAAGCGAUGAGGAUUUUUCUACGUAUGCCCACGGGCAAAACCGUGGCCCUGGGGCUUUCUGGAGAUUUGCCUACGGUAGCAACACUGAAGCAAGCAAUCGAAGCAGAACAUGGAAUACCUUUAUGCGCCCAGAGGCUCGUCUACUCUACGAAAAGCCUGUGGGACUCGGGCUCGAAUCUCGUAGACUAUGGGGUGAGGAACGAUUCGACAGUAACCAUGGUUGUUCCUCUAAGCGGAGGCAUGCAGGCGCCUGUCCAGCCGCGGCCCAGGCUGGAGUUUCUUAAUACGAAGCCCCCUGCGAAUUACGUGGCUGGUCUAGGGCGAGGAGCCACGGGUUUCACUACAAGGUCUGAUAUUGGGCCAGCUAGGGCAGCCCCUGAUUUGCCUGAUAGGUCUGCCACUACAAUUGGUGGUGCCGCGGCAUCCCAGGGGGCUGGCAGAGGGCGCGGCAAGGGCUCUUCUGGUGCCGAGGAGGACGAAGAAGGCGAUGAUGAGAAGGGCUACGAUGAAAACCAGAAGUUUGAUGAAUUUGAGGGUAACGAUGUGGGCCUUUUUGCGUCUGGGGAAUACGAUGAAGAUGAUAAGGAGGCCGAUGCUGUGUGGGAGAGUAUUGAUAAGAGAAUGGAUUCUCGUCGCAAGGAUCGCAGGGAAGCGAGGCUUAAGCAGGAGAUUGAGAAGUACAGGGCUUCCAAUCCUAAGAUUACAGAGCAAUUUGCGGAUUUGAAGAGGAAAUUGUAUACUCUGUCCAGCGAAGAGUGGGAUAGUAUACCGGAAAUUGGGGAUUAUUCGCUAAGGAAUAAGAAGAAGAGGUUUGAGAGUUUUGUGCCUGUGCCGGAUACCUUGCUUGAGAAGGCGCGGCAGGAGCAGGAGCAUGUCACUGCACUGGACCCCAAGAGUAGAGCCGCUGGUGGAACUGAGACGCCAUGGUCGCAGACACCUGUGACUGAUCUGACGGCUGUCGGACAGGGAAGGGAAACUGUGCUCAGUCUUAAGCUUGAUAGGUUGUCUGAUUCGGUCUCUGGUUUGACUGUUGUGGAUCCAAAAGGGUAUUUGACUGAUUUGAAAAGUAUGAAGAUAACCAGCGAUGCAGAGAUUUCGGAUAUCAAGAAGGCUAGGUUGCUGCUGAAGUCAGUGACACAGACCAAUCCAAAGCAUCCACCAGGUUGGAUUGCGGCUGCAAGGCUGGAGGAGGUUGCGGGCAAGAUUCAGGCUGCAAGGCAGUUGAUACAGAAGGGCUGCGAGGAGUGCCCAAAGAAUGAAGAUGUCUGGGUAGAAGCCUGCCGAUUGGCCAGCCCAGACGAGGCCAAGGCUGUUAUUGCACAGGGUGUGAAGGCAAAUCCGACUUCUGUGAAACUGUGGAUGCAAGCAGCAAGGCUGGAACAAGAUGAUUCAAAGAAGAGUAGGGUGCUGAGGAAGGGGCUAGAACAUAUUCCAGAUUCUGUGAGGCUUUGGAAGGCUGUGGUGGAGCUAGCCAACGAGGAGGAUGCAAGGAUUUUGCUACACAGGGCUGUAGAGUGCUGCCCAUUGCACGUAGAGCUCUGGCUUGCUCUAGCGAGGCUUGAGACAUAUGAUCAGGCAAGGAAGGUUCUUAACAAGGCUAGGGAGAAGCUUUCCAAGGAACCCUCAAUUUGGAUAACAGCUGCCAAGCUUGAGGAGGCCCAUGGAAAUACUAAUAUGGUUGGCAAAAUUAUCGAGAGGGCUAUAAAAAAUUUGCAAAAGGAAGGUGUUGUGAUUGAUAGGGAAGCUUGGAUGAAGGAAGCGGAGGCUGCAGAGCGAGCAGGGUCUGUUGUGACUUGCCAGGCAAUUAUUCGGAAUACAAUUGCUAUUGGAGUUGAGGAGGAGGAUAGGAAGAGAACAUGGGUUGCAGAUGCUGAGGAAUGCAAGAAAAGGGGUUCAAUUGAAACUGCUCGUGCAAUUUAUAAUCAUGCUCUUUCAGUCUUUCUUGCAAAGAAGGGUGUAUGGCUCAAGGCUGCUCAGCUAGAAAAGAGCCAUGGAACUAGAGAAUCUUUAGAUGCUUUAUUGAGGAAAGCUGUGACCUACUGCCCACGAGCAGAGGUGCUAUGGCUAAUGGGUGCCAAAGAAAAAUGGCUUGCAGGAGAUGUUCCUGCAGCACGUGCAAUCUUGCAGGAGGCCUAUGCUGCAAUACCCAAUUCCGAGGAGAUUUGGCUUGCUGCAUUCAAGUUGGAGUUUGAAAAUCAUGAGCCUGAAAGGGCUAGAAUGCUUCUCGCUAAGGCUCGUGAGAGAGACUGCACAGAAAGAGUCUGGAUGAAGUCGGCAAUUGUAGAAAGAGAGUUGGGAAAAACUGCAGAAGAGAGAUCACUUCUUGAGGAAGGUCUUAAAAGAUAUCCUUCGUUCUUUAAAUUAUGGCUUAUGCUUGGACAGCUUGAGGAACGCCUUGGAAACUUGGAAGCUGCACGAGAGGUUUACGAUCAAGGCAUCAAGAACUGUCAAGGGUGUGUACCGCUAUGGCUUUCUGCUGCUAAAUUGGAAGAAAUAAUGGGUGGUUUAAGCAAGGCGAGGGCUAUUCUGACUAUUGCCAGGAAGAAGAACAAUCAAAAUCCAGAUCUUUGGCUUGCUGCUAUCAGGUCUGAGUCAAGACAUGGAAACAAGAAAGAGAGUGAAAGUCUUAUGGCCAAGGCAUUGCAGGCAUGUCCAACUAGUGGCAAAUUGUGGGCAGCAGCAAUUGAGAUGGCUCCAAGACCACAGAGGAAGACAAAAAGUAUGGAUGCAAUCAAGAGGUGUGAUCAUGAUCCCUAUGUUAUUGCAGCUGUUGCCAAGCUAUUUUGGCAUGACAGGAAGGUAGAAAAGGCGAGGAAUUGGUUCAACAGGUCUGUUACUCUUGCUCCAGACAAUGGGGAUUUCUGGGUUCAGUAUUACAAGUUUGAAUUGCAACAUGGAACUGAGGAGGAACAACAAAAUGUAUUGAAAAGAUGCAUCGCAGCAGAACCAAAGCACGGAGAACGAUGGACAUCUGUAUCAAAAGCAGUGGAGAAUUCACAUCAGCCUGUAGAAUCUAUUUUGAAGAAAGUAGUGGUUGCUAUAGGCAAGGAAGAAGGUGUUGUAGGUGUAUGAUAACAUUCACAAGGACAAGCUGGUUGUGAAAAUACAAAAUAUCAAAGGGGCAGCUUUUUUUAUGGCUGUUGUCUAUGACUCAGAUUUACUAUGUCACAUAAAUUUGGAGAAAUCAAGAAUCUCCAUAGGAUAUCAGGAAGGGUUCAAUGUCUAGAAAGUAUAAUACAAGAGCAUACAAUCAUCAGUAUGUGUUUUGGGUGUGGAAAGCUAUCUCCAGGUCAUCUUGUUCUCUCAAAGAGGAGCAUUCUGUUCAGCAUAUUUAAAAUCAUAGCAAGGGAUUAAGGUGAUUAAAAUUUGCAAUGGCUUUAAAUAUCAUAUCUAUUUUGAUUGUAUAAGUUCUCAUGAUAUCUAAUAAGUUUCAAUUCCGGGAGGAUACAUGGUAUAUAAAUCUGUGAACUACGUAGAAUUACAGGUAACCGUGGAUAGUAGUGCAGAGUCAAGUCCUUGCAAUCUGUAGCUAUAAUAACAAUACAAAUUUAGUAAACACCAGCUAUAGAUGACAUGAUCAAUAAAUCUUAGCUCCUAGUAACUUUGUUUCUAGCAUUUUCUAAUGUUUGCAGCUACUCUGCAAGAACUGUUAAUUCUAACAGAAAGUGAACAAUAAGUAAAGUCUUUAGUAAUAGGAGAUGGUACUAUCUUUAGUACUAGGGAGAUUGAAAUACUAAUUUGAAAACAAUUAUGUCCAUCCCUGGAUAUAAUGGAGCAAUUCAUUAUAAUGGAGGGAUACUAUCAUACAAAAAUCCAUAUUUUUAAUUCACAACCAUCUCUGUGCAUGGCAUGUAAAAGGUGGUACUAUUCCUGAAA